rnacentral:rRNA from 1 species
AAAGCAGGUCAUAGUGAUCCGGUGGUCCUGUAUGGAAAGGCCAUCGCUCAACGGAUAAAAGGUACUCCGGGGAUAACAGGCUUAUCACGCCCAAGAGUUCACAUCGACGGCGUGGUUUGGCACCUCGAUGUCGGCUCAUCGCAUCCUGGGGCUGAAGUAGGUCCCAAGGGUUCGGCUGUUCGCCGAUUAAAGCGGUACGCGAGCUGGGUUCAAAACGUCGUGAGACAGUUUGGUCCCUAUCCGCCGUGGGCGCAGGAGACUUGAGAGGAGCUAACCUUAGUACGAGAGGACCGGGUUGGACUGACCUCUAGUGUUCCGGUUGUGGCACCAGCCGCAUCGCCGGGUAGCUACGUCGGGAAUGGAUAACCGCUGAAAGCAUCUAAGCGGGGAAGCCAACCUCAAGAUUAGGUCUCCCAGGUCGUAAGACCCUAAAGGCCCCUCGUAGACCACGAGGC